AGCGAACGCUGGCGGCAGGCUUAACACAUGCAAGUCGAGCGGGCAUCCUUGUGGUGUCAGCGGCAGACGGGUGAGUAACGCGUGGGAACGUGCCCUUUGGUUCGGAAUAACUCAGGGAAACUUGAGCUAAUACCGGAUACGCCCUUUUGGGGAAAGGCUUGCUGCCGAAGGAUCGGCCCGCGUCUGAUUAGCUUGUUGGUGAGGUCAUGGCUCACCAAGGCGACGAUCAGUAGCUGGUCUGAGAGGAUGAUCAGCCACACUGGGACUGAGACACGGCCCAGACUCCUACGGGAGGCAGCAGUGGGGAAUAUUGGACAAUGGGGGCAACCCUGAUCCAGCCAUGCCGCGUGAGUGAUGACGGCCUUAGGGUUGUAAAGCUCUUUUCUCCGGGACGAUAAUGACGGUACCGGAGGAAUAAGCCCCGGCUAACUUCGUGCCAGCCGCCGCCGUAAGAC
rnacentral:rRNA from 1 species